ensembl:lncRNA
GAUUACUCGCUCUCCCGCUGAUGUUAAGACUACCCCGAGCUCCCAGAAGAGAUCUGACUUCAGACGUAUCAACAACUGGCGCCGCUCACACUGCUUGCGAGCUCAACAGCCAUGAAACCAGGGAUCAACAACUACCUUUCGCGUGCCCUAUGUGCAUAUCACUCGACUCUGAGAUAAACCUGCUCAACUCCUCUUUUUUUGAGUAUCUCGAUCGAAUUGAUAUCUCUGACUUGGACACCUUUAUUGGUACGAGUUCCCCGAAUUCUUCACCACCAGUGCUUGUGCGAUCCACAGGAAAGAAUAUUCGUCUCUCCACACGGGACAGACAGCAUUUGCUCUCUACGCUAGAUCGCCCUGCUUCAUCUGGCCCCAGUUCCAUCCCCGUCGGAGCUUGUUCUCUCCCGCAACCCUCUGGGAAAAACCUGCGCCUGGCCGCCGGGGACAGCCAAGAUUUGCUCUCUGAGCUCACUCCCGAUGCUCCGGCCGAUCGGAGCCCCAGAAACGCUUCUAAUUCUCCGCCAUCAGACACACGAAAUGCACCGCGCCUGCCUUUGAGACCCAAUCACGGGCGUCUCAGAAGGAGGAGUAGCAGGACCCGCAGGAUCGCAAGGACAAGGAGGACAACGCGAACACGCACCCGAAGGCAGCUGGCGUCAAUCGCUCUUCGUGCGGUAUCUCUGUUCGCUGAAUUAGUUCAGCUCAUCUUAUAAAAACUUUGUUUUUGAUAUUUUUUUUUAUUUUGCUUUUCAAACAUACUUUCUUUUGUGGUUUUUUCUUUUAAUAUAUUCCUGUUAAACAAUAAUAAUAAAAUAAAAUGGAUAACCAGGAACAAGAUAUUACAGACCCGUUUCUUGCUUUAGAAACAGCGUUAGCUAGGUUAAAUGAAAAUAUACACCAUUCUCAGAUUACAUAUUCACAAAACAGUGAGCAACCUGAGGUGAUCAAUAAUAAUGAUCCUUUAGAAUUGCUUAAUUUAGCUCUUGCCCGAUUAGCACCCAAUGAAAGUGCCUUUCAAAAUAUUUCUUUGAGUUUGGGAUUGGAUCAUGAUGAGAUCCAAACAGAGUCAGACGCGGUUCAUUCACAAAUGAGUCUGACACAAAACAUCUCCUCUUC